AUGACAAAUAAAAACCAUCGAAAACCACUGAUUUCAGACACUUGACUUAGAACAUGCAUAUAAAGAAUGUGGCGGGGUUAAAAACGUUUGAGAACGCUCAACCUUUAUUGCCUCUGACAGUGGUGUACCAUCAGAUUGUAAGAAAAAACUGUAAAAAUCAAUAGAAAACUGUUUGACUCGUCUAAUCGACACGAAGCACAGAACCAAUUGAACUAACGACAAAAAAACAUAUGUCACCCGUCUGAGUACUUGCAGUUAAUACCAUACGUAUUGAUUAAAGUGUACCAAUACACAUAAAUUUUUAAUUGAUCAAAAACAAAAUAUACAGACUACUCAAUAAGAAUCUCUGUAUGCUCUUGUUUGAAUUAGAAUUCAACAGGAUAUGUCAAACUUUUAAACCAAAUGUUUGUUUUAGAUGUUUUUGUUUAGCAAAAAUUGUAACGAAUUACCUUAAUUUACAAAUUAAACAUAGAUAACCUUAUUCUAAUCUAAAACGCCAUAACAAACACGAUCAUAGAAAAUGAGAUUGGGAAAAAAACAUACCGUAAGGAUAGGCGAAGGAAAAUUAUAGUAAAAAAAUGGAAAAUAAGCAAUAUAGAACAAAAAUAAUCUUCUCUUUUGUCUAAAAUUUUUGUUUUGAGUUUGAAUUUCGCGUUGAAAUCCCCAAAUCCAGAUCUAGAAAAGAGCAUACAUAUCUGUUAAUUUUACAUUUAUUUAAAACAAGUUCCCAAUGGUAAAUUUUCGCAGGAUAAUUCUUUAUAGAUAUUUCUAGAUUAUUUAGAGCAAAAACAUCAUCAAGGUAACGGUGAGUAUUUCUAAAUUUGGAACAAAAUAGAAUCUUUAUUUACUUUGUUUAAGAUCUAUGUUCUAUAGCAAUACAGGAACAUGUCUGCUAUAAAAGUGUCGCUAUGUGUUCCAAUAGGAAUACCUGUUGAUAAACGUCCAUCCAUGUUGUAAUGGAGAACAUUUAGUUUUAACCAUUUAACCACCGUUCUAUAAGUAAUGUAUAGCAUUUACAGAAGAGGAUUUUCAAUGAGCUACAGCAAACAAAUCUUUAUCAUAUUUUUUCCAAGGAACAGUCAUCCAAUUAAAAAAUGCUUCGAGGUGUAGAAGUGUAGUGUCAAACAAAAAUAACUUUCAAAAAAAAA
rnacentral:lncRNA from 1 species